rnacentral:tRNA from 1 species
UCCCUGGUGGUCCAGUGAUUAGGACUCCAUGCUUUCACUGCCGAAGGCCCAGGUUCAAUUCCUGAUCAGGGAA